AGAGAUGUAACUCGGUGGUAGAGUAUGUGCUUAACAAGUACAAGGCUUUAGGUUCAAUCCAUAGCACUA
rnacentral:tRNA from 1 species